rnacentral:rRNA from 1 species
CUGGUUGAUCCUGCCAGUAGUCAUAUGCUUGUCUCAAGGAUUAAGCCAUGCAAGUCUAAGUUUAAGUACAUCUAGUUCGAAACUGCGAAAAGCUCAUUAUAUCAGUUAUUGUCUGCUCGAUAGUCAAAAUUAUAUGGAUAACCGUAGUAAUUCUAGAGCUAAUACAUGCCCAACGUGCUGGUCUUACAAUCAGUACAAUUUAUUAGAUACAAAACCAACCCUGCUUCUGCAGGCCUUAUGGUGACUCAUAAUAACCUGUCGAUCACAUUUCACAAUGUGAUGUGUCGUAUGAAUUUCUGCCCUAUCAGCUUUGAUGUUAGUGUAGUGGACUAACAUGGCGAAAACGGGUGACGGAGGAUUAGGGUCUGAUUCCGGAGAGGGAGCCUGAGAAACGGCUACCACUUCCAAGGAAGGCAGCAGGCGCGUAAAUUACCCAAUCUCGAUACGAGGAGGUAGUGACAAGAAAUAACAAUAUCGGUCCUGUAUAAGGUCUGGUAAUUGGAAUGAGUACAAUUUAAAGUUCUUAACGAGGAUCAAUUGGAGGGAAAGUCUGGUGCCA